CAGCACCUCAAGUGGUCAGGAUGAUUAUUGGGCCUAAAGCAUCCGUCGCCGGCGCUGUAAGUUUUCGGUUAAAUCUGUACGCUCAACGUACAGGCUGCCGGGAAUACUGCAGCGCUAGGGAGUGGGAGAGGUAGACGGUACUCGGUAGGAAGGGGUAAAAUCCUUUGAUCUAUUGAUGACCACCUGUGGCGAAGGCGGUCUACCAGAACACGUCCGACGGUGAGGGAUGAAAGCCAGGGGAGCAAACCGGAUUAGAUACCCGAGUAGUCC
rnacentral:rRNA from 1 species